AGUACGUAUAAUUCCUAUGUCUGACGGUGAUAAAGAGUCCAGACUAUAAUGACGAGGAGGGUACACCGAUGAAUCCAUCCAUGGGAUAACUGCGUGCAAUCAGAUAUUGUCUUAAUAGAAACGAAAUUCAAUCGAUAACGAAGGUAUUUACACGACCAUUCGCAAUUAUAAACCAUCGCGUAGAGGGCUGUUAUUACCGUUUGCGACGCUCGUUUUCCCAAAGGGACAACAGAGUUAACACAUCCUCCGGAUCGAUAUCCAAUUCCCUCUUGAAUCGUGGUUCUUGAUAAAUUGGAACGCUGAAAGUUUCAAGUUGGACAACUCGUAUCAAUCACCCAAUAACCAUCGCCCACGAUUAACGCAGACAAAUUAUCUGGGACUUAAAGGAGACACUAUUACCAGGUAAUAGAGGUGGAGAUGAUGAAUUUGAAAGAGGUCUAUAAAUGAUUUGGAUGGGAGCAGAACAUGCUCCGCUGAUCAACUUCGAUAACGACGUCGUAUUGAACCGACUUGGUCGUCAAGUCGACCGCCGUUUCUGCCGAGGGCAACGCCCUCGCCAACCCUCUCAUCCCCAUUCAGAAGAAAUGUCGAAGAAAAAGAGGGAUGUCCCGCACGAGCAAGAGGGCGGGAAAGGCGUGCUCGCAGGGGUGGGAAUUACAGCCGGGUUACAGAGUCGAUUCACCCUGUCGCAGGCUGCCUGUUCCACAGAAUGCAUGCGUUUAUCACUCACCUUCUCUUCGCCUGUGUCUGUGACGCGGACUGCUGAGUGGAUGUCGAGGAUUGGAACGACGAGGU